rnacentral:rRNA from 1 species
UACGAAGGGGGCUAGCGUUGCUCGGAAUCACUGGGCGUAAAGGGCGUGUAGGCGGUACGAUACGUAGCGGUUUUAAGCCUCCGGCUCACCCGGAGGAGGGCGGCUAAACGGUCGCACUGGAGGGCAGGAGAGGUGCAUGGAAUUCCUAGUGGAGCGGUGAAAUGCGUAGAGAUUAGGAAGAACACCAGUGGCGAAGGCGAUGCACUGGCCUGACCCUGACGCUGAGGCGCGACAGCGUGGGGAGCGAACGGGAUUAGAAACCCUAGUAGUCC